GCGGGGAUGACGGACACAUACGUUCGGGACUCUUCUCCCCCACCAGUCUGCCUCCACCGCCCACCCCGCACCACGCGACGCUCCAUCUCCCCCGCCCACGCCGCCUUGAUCGCUCCUCCGAGUCCUCCCCCCAGGUCCAGGCCGGCGCCGCCUUCUUCCCCUAUGCUGCGCCGCCGCUGCCUGGUUCCAGAUCUAAAGCUUGGAUUUUGCGCGGCAGACCAAUGACGCAUCCAUCCCCAAGUGCCCCUGGCCAUGGCGGCCGUCGUUCAUGUCCCCCUCCACUACCAUUAACUCCCCCCUCCUCCGUCCGUCGCCUCGCCGACCCGACCUCUUCACCUCGCCAUGGCGCUCCCCACACCCCGCGCUCCUGCCUGCCCGCCUCCGCGCCCCCUCCCUGCCUGCACCUGCCCCCUCGCCGUCACUAGCACAGAUGAGUGGGAGGCAAAUGAGGAGUUUGUGGUGGCCACAUACCAGCUGGUGCCCGUCGACGACCCCCGCGCACAACUCCACUUCCUGCAGGUUAGGAAGAUUACUUGGAUGCUUUUCAGGCUUCUCCAGCAUUAACCGGGCAUGCUCUCCAGUAUGAACAAUCACUUAUUCAGAUCAUGCAGUGACACUCUUGACUGCACGACAAUAAUCCGCGGCGCCGGCAGCCGAAGCGGACGAAGUGGCUGGG